rnacentral:rRNA from 1 species
UACGUAGGUGGCAAGCGUUGUCCGGAUUUACUGGGCGUAAAGGCUGCGUAGGCGGAUGUUUAAGUGAGAUGUGAAAUACCCGAGCUCAACUUGGGUGCUGCAUUUCAAACUGGAUAUCUAGAGUGCAGGAGAGGAAAGCGGAAUUCCUAGUGUAGCGGUGAAAUGCGUAGAGAUUAGGAAGAACACCAGUGGCGAAGGCGGCUUUCUGGACUGUAACUGACGCUGAGGCAUGAAAGCGUGGGGAGCAAACAGG